GACUAUAUUUCUUUGUUUCUCAUCUUCAGCCAGAUUUUCCUUUCUUCUUGGUGCCAAUUUAGGCGUUCACAGUAUGAUCCCACCAAACUCAGCUUUCCAUCCCAUCGAAUUCUCUCUCUCUCUCUUUGUGACGCUGAAUUCUUCUCUCUCUAAGAUUGGUAAUUUCACUUUCUCGAACUAUUUUGAUUUAGAAGGCGCUUAGUGGAAAGGCUCGGAGAAAGAAAUUGUUGUCUCCAAAAGGCAUCGAUGUACGCCCAAUAAUGGAGGUUGUCAAAGGUGCUGCAUUUGGUAUAUUACAGUUGUAGAGUUGCUAUCAGAGGAUGAAAAUUCUCUGCGUUUGACUUUGCAACCUCCCAAGUUACUCAGAAGAGAAUUUGGCAAAGCAAAGGGGAAUUCUUUAUUUAGUAAUGCAAUUGAUAUUAGGCUGUCGGAUUUCCAAAGAGAAAGAUUGAAGGCAUUGCUUCAACCAAGUACGAUUGUCCUUACUGCAAAAUCUGAUAAGGGGAGUACUUGAACAAGAGGCAUGCUUAGAUGCGUUGAUCUCUAUUAUAUUGGACUCAUCAACCGAUCAAAUGCCAACGUUGUUUGAAACGUAAUGUACGUUAGGCUUACCAUAAUUUCUGUCACGGUUGUGCCAAUGAGUAUGGUUUAUGUGCAAAGUGUUGAUGCUGUGUGAGACAAACAAUUUGAAGGCUAUCAAGAACGCCCGAGAAACGGACAGGAUGUCUCUACUUCGCGCUAUAAGCUUCUAUUUUCUCUGUUUGGUGUUUACUUUCUUUCACUCUUUUUUUUUUUUCUAAACUAAAAGAUGAGAGAAAAUGAAUGAGGGAACAAAUCUGAUUGUUGUAGAAUUAUUUUUCUCUUCAUUUGUUUUGUUUUAGGAGUUCUCAUUGAUAAAUUAUAUGUAUAUUU